rnacentral:rRNA from 1 species
GAUCAUGGCUCAGGAUGAACGCUAGCUACAGGCUUAACACAUGCAAGUCGAGGGGCAGCAUUUUUCUAGCAAUAGAAGAGAUGGCGACCGGCGCACGGGUGAGUAACACGUAUCCAACCUACCGAUAACUCCGGGAAUAGCCUUUCGAAAGAAAGAUUAAUACCGGAUAGUAUACGAAUAUCGGCAUGAUAUUUUUAAUUAAAGAAUUUCGGUUAUCGAUGGGGAUGCGUUCCAUUAGUUUGUUGGCGGGG